UGGGGAAUCUUGGACAAUGGGGGCAACCCUGAUCCAGCGACGCCGCGUGGGUGGUAAGGCCUUCGGGUUGUAAAGCCCUUUCACCGGGGAAGAUGAUGACAUUACCCGGCGAAGAAGCGCCGGCUAACUCCGUGCCAGCUGCCGCGGUAAGACGGAGGGCGCUUGCGUUGUUCGGAAACACUGGGCGAAAAGGGCGCGUAGGCGGCUGUUUAAGUCGAGGGUGAAAGCCCGGGGCUCAACCCCGGAACGGCCUUCGGGACUGGGCAGCUCGAGACCGGAAGAGGAGGGUGGAAUACCCAGUGUAGAGGUGAAAGUCGUAGAUAGUGGGUGGAACACCAGUGGCGAAAGCGGCUCUCUGGUCCGGAUCUGACGCUGAGGCGCGAAAGCGUGGGGAGCAAACAGGAUUAGAUACCCGUGUAGUCC
rnacentral:rRNA from 1 species